rnacentral:tRNA from 1 species
GCCCCGUUGGUGUAGACGGCCUAACACGCCACCCUCUCAAGGUGGAGAUCACGGGUUCGAAUCCCGUACGGGGUG